rnacentral:rRNA from 1 species
CCUACGGGUGGCAGCAGUGGGGAAUAUUGGACAAUGGGCGGAAGCCUGAUCCAGCAAUGCCGCGUGUGUGAAGAAGGCCUGAGGGUUGUAAAGCACUUUCAAUGGGAAGGAAAAAAGCUGGGCUAAUACCCCGGUUCUUGACAUUACCUAUAGAAGAAGCACCGGCUAACUCCGUGCCAGCAGCCGCGGUAAUACGGAGGGUGCAAGCGUUAAUCGGAAUUACUGGGCGUAAAGCGUGCGUAGGCGGUUAUUUAAGUCAGAUGUGAAAGCCCCGGGCUUAACCUGGGAACUGCAUUUGAUACUGGAUGACUAGAGUGUGGUAGAGGAGAGCGGAAUUUCCGGUGUAGCGGUGAAAUGCGUAGAUAUCGGAAGGAACACCAGUGGCGAAGGCGGCUCUCUGGACCAACACUGACGCUGAGGUACGAAAGCGUGGGUAGCAAACAGGAUUAGAUACCCUAGUAGUC